rnacentral:rRNA from 1 species
CCUACGGGUGGCAGCAGUGGGGAAUUUUCCGCAAUGGGCGAAAGCCUGACGGAGCAACGCCGCGUGAGGGAUGAAGGCCUCUGGGCUGUAAACCUCUUUUCUCAAGGAAGAAGAUCUGACGGUACUUGAGGAAUAAGCCACGGCUAAUUCCGUGCCAGCAGCCGCGGUAAUACGGGAGUGGCAAGCGUUAUCCGGAAUUAUUGGGCGUAAAGCGUCCGCAGGCGGCCUUUUAAGUCUGCUGUCAAAACGUGGAGCUUAACUCCAUACCGGCAGUGGAAACUGGAAGGCUUGAGUGUGGUAGGGGCAGAGGGAAUUCCCGGUGUAGCGGUGAAAUGCGUAGAUAUCGGGAAGAACACCAGUGGCGAAGGCGCUCUGCUGGGCCAUAACUGACGCUCAUGGACGAAAGCCAGGGGAGCGAAAGGGAUUAGAUACCCCAGUAGUC